GACACAGGCGGCCAAAGGUCAGCGCUGGGUCCCGGAAGCCUGGGUGAGCAAGUGUGAGUGAGGGCCUGGGCCGGCAGUGAGGGCAGAGCCCCGGGAGCCGCCCUGCACCCUCCACCCUGGAAGCCUGGCCCCCACCCUGCCAGUGUCCCGAAGUGCCUCCGUGGUCUGUGCUGGAGGCAGCUGGGUGGCCCUGGUCAAGAGCGGCUAGGGCAGGAGAGAGACGCAGGACAGAGUAGGACAGGUCAGAGGUCUUGGCUCCACCCCAUCCAUCGGGGACCUCUGGGCAGCAAAGGGGAGAACCAGCCGUAAGCUCCAUGACUGGCUCCUGUCCUGGGAGUUGUGCCCGCCAGACUCUGGGCCUCCAUCCUUUGCACCUCCCAGAGCCCCUGCCCCAGGGGUGUGUGCUGGGACAGGGGGCACCUGCUCCGAGCCCAGGCUGGGGACUGGACCCACGGCGCAAGGCCUGUCGGUUCCGGACAGACUGGAAACCCACUGGCCACACAGACCUCAUCCCUUCCUUGGUCGAGGGGAAGCCACUCAGUCACGGAGGCGGCCCGGGUUCUCCGCAGCGGCGCAGGAGGCGGGCCCCAGGGCGGGGCACAGGACCUGGCGCGCAGGAGGACGCGGACGGGAGGGCGCUGGCCGCAUGGCCCGCCGCGGGCAACGAAGUCACGUUUGUGAAGCGAAACCGCCCGCACGGCCGGCGGGGCCGCAUUUCCCUUGCAAAUGCCAUUCAAAGGCCGUCCGGGCGGCGCACCCUGCUCGCCGCUGCCGCUGCGUUCCUCCGCCGUGACUCCAGGGGAGGGGUCGAAAGGGGCUGCGCGGCAGCCGCCCCCUCCCCACCGAGGACGCCCUCAGGCCGCGGCGGGCUGGAGCGCCCGUGGGGGCGUCGGCCAGCCCCGCGCGGGACUCCAGGCCCGUAUCACGCCCAAGGGAGCCCCCGCCCGAGGGAAGCCCCCGUGUCCCUCGCCGCCCCCAGACCAGGGCGGGGCAGCCGGGGGCGGGGCCUGCGCGGGUUUAAAGCGGGAGGCGCCCGGCGCGGGCACCCCGGCGAGCUGAACGACUGCGAGCAAGCUGAACGCUGCGGCGCCGUCCGGGCAGGCCUGAUACUGCGCCCUGAGCACCCGCCCUCCAUGGCCUGCUCACCGUGGGAGAGCUGGACCGCGGCGCUGCUUCUUGGACACUAUCCAGUGGCAGCGGCCGAGGGAGCAAGGAUCCAGGGAGCAGAAGUGGGUCCUCGCUGAGUUCUGCACGAUGAACGGCCACGCCUCUCCUCCUCUCGACCUCCUAGUCACUGGCGGCACCAGGCUGACUGCUGUAUCCAAGACCGUGAAGGCCGCGCUGGGAGCUGGCGCCCCGUCUGCACCCCAGGCCAGGAGCAUCGCUGGGGUGUGGGUGGAGGCCUCGGGCCAGGCCCAAGGUCUCUAUGCUGCCAUGAAGCAGGGUCUCCUGCCCUCUGGGCUUGGGCUGGCUCUGCUGGAGGCCCAGGCAGCCACAGGGGGCCUGGUGGACCCCACGCAGGGCCAGCUGCUCCCUGUGUCUGAGGCCCUGCAGCAGGGCCUGGUGGGCCUGGAGCUCAAGGAGAAGCUGCUGGCUGCCGAGCGUGCGGCCACUGGGUACCCUGAUCCCUAUGGGGGCGAGAAGCUGUCCCUCUUUCAGGCCAUCGGGAAGGAGGUGGUAGACAGGGCGCUGGGGUGGAACUGGUUGGAGGCCCAGCUGGCCACUGGGGGCCUGGUGGACCCCAUCUGCGGGGUGCGUGUGGCCCCCGAGCUGGCCUGCCAGCAGGGCCUCCUGGACCAGGAGACAUGGCAUGGGCUGUUGGAACUGGGGCGUGGCUCAAGCGCCCCGGGCUUCCUGGACCCUAACACACUGGAGCAGCUGCCCUACCGG
ensembl:lncRNA